rnacentral:rRNA from 1 species
GAUGAACGCUGGCGGCGUGCCUAAUACAUGCAAGUCGAACGAGUUCUGGUUUAUGAUGGCGGUGCUUGCACCAAUAGAUUAAACAUUUGAACGAGUGGCGGACGGGUGAGUAACACGUGGGUAACCUGCCCUCAAGCAGGGGAUAACACUUGGAAACAGGUGCUAAUACCGUAUAACAACAAAAACCGCAUGGUUUUUGUUUGAAAGAUGGUUUCGGCUAUCACUUGAGGAUGGACCCGCGGCGUAUUAGCUAGUUGGUGAGGUAAUGGCUCACCAAGGCAAUGAUACGUAGCCGACCUGAGAGGGUAAUCGGCCACAUUGGGACUGAGACACGGCCCAAACUCCUACGGGAGGCAGCAGUAGGGAAUCUUCCACAAUGGACGAAAGUCUGAUGGAGCAACGCCGCGUGAGUGAAGAAGGGUUUCGGCUCGUAAAACUCUGUUGUUAAAGAAGAACAGGUGUAAGAGUAACUGUUUACACCGUGACGGUAUUUAACCAGAAAGCCACGGCUAACUACGUGCCAGCAGCCGCCGUAACAC